rnacentral:rRNA from 1 species
GAUGAACGCUAGCUACAGGCUUAACACAUGCAAGUCGAGGGGCAGCAUGAGGGUUAGCAAUAACUCUUGAUGGCGACCGGCGCAAGGGUGCGUAACGCGUGAGCAACUUGCCCGUUUCUGGGGAAUAACCGGUGGAAACGCCGACUAAUACCCCCAUAGCAUUAAUUUCAGGCAUCUGUUAUCAAUUAAGAAUUUCGGAAACGGAUAGGCUCGCGUGACAUUAGCUAGAUUGGCGGGGUAACGGCCCACCAUGGCUACGAUGUCUAGGGGUUCUGAGAGGAAGGUCCCCCANACUGGAACUGAGACACGGUCCAGACUCCUACGGGAGGCAGCGAGUGAGGAAUA